ensembl:lncRNA
CUCACGAGUACUUGGUAGGGAGCCCCGGAGACCUUUGAUGGCAAGUUCUAAAGGAAGGCCGGGCUUCACAAUAGGGCAAUUACGCUUUAGGCUAAUUGGCGCCGAGACGCUGUAAAAGCACUUAUUUGGAACGCCGCACAGAAUAGCACGAGGGUGCUGGCGUUUGGCAGUAAUGCUGUUAACACCUCGAGACACAGGGGAAGCCCACUAGAAGCCUGGAGAUGCGCCUGCCACUCUGCACGGCCAGCCCUCCAUACCACCUGGGCCAGGACCACGUGGAACCACGGAGGGGGCGGCCUCCACUUGACUCUUUGUGAGCUUUCGGUGGGGAUUGGUACCUCCCUUCCAACUCCCCAGCACGGCCCAAGCAGCCUGCCAGACACCCCAAGGGAAGAGCCACCUACCACGUGUGGUCACUGAACACCUGAAAUGUGGUUCAGAAAGAAAAAGACAAAUACUCUAUAUUAAUGCAUAUAUAUGGAAUUGAGAAAGACGGUACCUACGAUCCUACAUGCAGGGCAGCAAAGGAGACACAGACGGAUAAAGAACAAGACUUCUGAGAACAGCACUGAAACAUGUACAUUACCAUAUGUAAAACAGAAGAUCUGUGCAAGUUGGAUGCAUGAAGCAGGGUACACAAAGCAGGUGCUCUGGGACAACCUCGAGGGAUAAGGUGGGGAGGGAGAUGGAGGGGAGUCCAGGAUGGGGCGGGACACAUGUAUACCUGUGGCCAGUUCAUGUUGAUGUAUGGUAGAAACCAUCACAAUAUUGUAAAGUAAUUAUCCUCCAAUGAAAAUAAAUAAAAUUUUAAAAAAGAAAAAGGUCCUUGGGGAAAGGGAAUCCUCUUCACCAAUGUCCUCUUCAAGAAUAAAAUGUAUUAUCUGGAAUCCUCUCAGGGAUUACAUAUAGAUGUAACACUUUAAAAUGCUUGUUGGUGUUCACUUGUGAAAAUUCAUCAGGUUGUAUACAUUAGAUUUGUGCACUUUUCUAUUCGUGUUGUAUUUCAAUAAGAGUUUACAGAAAAUAUUCUUUAGAAAUAAAAAGAAAUGUGGUUAGUGCAAACCUACGGUAGUGCUGUGAGCAUAAAAUAUACAUGGAAAUUCAAAGACAGGACAAUAAAAGAGAAAUUAU